GGAUUGGUGCCUUCGGGACUUACAUACAGGUGCUGCAUGGCUGUCGUCAGCUCGUGUCKUGAGAUGUUGGGUUAAGUCCCGCAACGAGCGCAACCCUUUUCCUUAUUUGCCAGCGAGUAAUGUCGGGAACUUUAAGGAUACUGCCAGUGACAAACUGGAGGAAGGCGGGGACGACGUCAAGUCAUCAUGGCCCUUACGGCCAGGGCUACACACGUGCUACAAUGGUCGGUACAAAGGGUUGCUACCUAGCGAUAGGAUGCUAAUCUCAAAAAGCCGAUCGUAGUCCGGAUUGGAGUCUGCAACUCGACUCCAUGAAGUCGGAAUCGCUAGUAAUCGCGGAUCAGAAUGCCGCGGUGAAUACGUUCCCGGGUCUUGUACACA
rnacentral:rRNA from 1 species